GAUGAACGCUGGCGGCGUGCCUAAUACAUGCAAGUCGAGCGAACGGACGAGAAGCUUGCUUCCCUGAUGUUAGCGGCGGACGGGUGAGUAACACGUGGAUAACCUACCUAUAAGACUGGGAUAACCUCGGGAAACCGGAGCUAACACCGGAUGAUAUUUUGAACCGCAUGGUUCAAAAGUGAAAGACGGUCUUGCUGUCACUUGUAGAUGGACCCGCGCUGCAUUAGCUAGUUGGUAAGGUAACGGCUUACCAAGGCAACGAUGCAUAGCCGACCUGAGAGGGUGAUCGGCCACACUGGAACUGAGACACGGUCCAGACUCCUACGGGAGGCAGCAGUAGGGAAUCUUCCGCAAUGGGCGAAAGCCUGACGGAGCAACGCCGCGUGAGUGAUGAAGGUCUUCGGAUCGUAAAACUCUGUUAUUAGGGAAGAACAUAUGUGUAAGUAACUGUGCACAUCUUGACGGUACCUAAUCAGAAAGCCACGGCUAACUACGUG
rnacentral:rRNA from 1 species